rnacentral:rRNA from 1 species
AGCGAACGCUGGCGGCGUGCCUAACACAUGCAAGUCGAACGUGAAAGUCCUUCGGGAUGAGUAAAGUGGCGUACGGGUGAGUAACACGUAGGUAAUCUACCUUACAGUCUGGAAUAACCGGCCGAAAGGCUGGCUAAUACUGGAUAGAGCGACGGAAUCCGUAAUUGGGUUUUUCGGGAAAGGGAGCUAGCAAUAGCCUUCGCUGUAAGAUGAGCCUGCGUCUGAUUAGCUAGUUGGUGGGGUAAUGGCCCACCAAGGCUGUGAUCAGUAGCUGGUCUGAGAGGAUGAUCAGCCACACUGGAACUGAAACACGGUCCAGACUCCUACGGGAGGCAG